GAGGGUAUAGCUCAGUGAAAGAGUGCGUGCUUAGCAUGCACAGGGUCUUGGGUUCAAUCCCCGGUACCUCUG
rnacentral:tRNA from 1 species